GGAAGUGCUCUAGCUGUGUACUGGAGGAAUCAACCAAUUCCUGUUGAUGACAAGGAUGAUUUUAAGGAGUAACCUCUGCUGCUGCUUCUUUACAUGUCGUUAGUUUGUGAGAUGAAGUUGAAAGAUCCACAGUCAUGCAAAUGCAUGGUUGGUAGUUGUUUGCAUUUCUUGGCUGCCUCUGUAAUGAAACCUAAAUUUUGGACCUUAGAUUCAAUUUUAUGUGUUAGAAACAUUAGCACAGUGCCUUCCAAAAUGUUUUAGAUGAAUUGUUAUUGAGCGAACUGCCCAUGGCAUUGUAAGCCAGUUUAGUGCUGGUAAGAUUUACUCCAAGGUUGAUAAAAUGGGUGUAAUUUAUGGCUAUUCGCCCAAUUACCUCAUUACAAUUGGGUUGGCU
rnacentral:misc_RNA from 1 species